rnacentral:rRNA from 1 species
GUGAGGAAUAUUGCGCAAUGGAGGCAACUCUGACGCAGCCAUGCCGCGUGCAGGAAGAAGGCGCUACGCGUUGUAAACUGCUUUUAACCGGGAAGAAACCCCAGGACGUGUACUGGGUUGACGGUACCGGAGGAAUAAGCACCGGCUAACUUCGUGCCAGCAGCCGCGGUAAUACGAAGGGUGCAAGCGUUAUCCGGAUUCAUUGGGUUUACAGGGUGCGUAGGCGGAGCGUUAAGUCAGUGGUGAAAUCCUGCAGCUUAACUGUAGACUUGCCAUUGAUACUGGCGCUCUUGAGUGCGCUUGAAGUGGGCGGAAUGUGCCGUGUAGCGGUGAAAUGCUUAGAUAUGGCACAGAACACCAAUUGCGAAGGCAGCUCACUAAGGCGAUACUGACGCUGAGGCACGAAAGCGUGGGGAUCGAACAGGAUUAGAUACCCUUGUAGUCC